GUGUCAGCAGCCGCGGUAAUACAGAGGUGGCAAGCGUUGUUCGGAAUUACUGGGCGUAAAGGGCGCGUAGGUGGUCCUACAAGUCCCGUGUGAAAUCCCUCGGCUCAACUGAGGAACUGCACGGGAAACUGUUUGACUUGAGGUCGGGAGAGGGACGCGGAAUUCCGGGUGUAGCGGUGAAAUGCGCAGAUAUCCGGAGGAACACCAGAGGCGAAGGCGGCGUCCUGGACCGAAUCUGACACUGAGGCGCGAAAGCUAGGGGAGCAAACGGGAUUAGAUACCCUUGUAGUCC
rnacentral:rRNA from 1 species